CUGUACUGUCCUUUUGUCAAACACUGUUUUCUUUGACUUUUAGAAAAGAGCGAGUAAAGAGUAAAGAUAUAUGGUGUUCCCACCCAGCAUUGACUUGUUUUCCUUCGAAGCUGCCUCCCCCUGAUUCUCCAGAGCUGAGAAAACAGAAGUCCUCAGUGAAGAUCUGCUACAGAUUGAGCGGCGC